UACGAAGGGGGCGAGCGUUAUUCGGAAUCACUGGGCGUAAAGCGUGCGUAGACGGUUUCGUAAGUCGGGUGUGAAAUCCCCGGGCUCAACCUGGGAAUGGCGAUGAAGACUGCAAGGCUAGAAUCUGGCAGAGGGGGGUAGAAUUCCACGUGUAGCAGUGAAAUGCGUAGAGAUGUGGAGGAACACCGAUGGCGAAGGCAGCCCCCUGGGUCAAGAUUGACGCUCAUGCACGAAAGCGUGGGGAGCAAACAGG
rnacentral:rRNA from 1 species